rnacentral:rRNA from 1 species
AAUUGCAGAAUUCAGUGAAUCAUCGAAUCCUUUGAACGCACAUUGCGCCCUUUGGUAUUCCAAAGGGCAUGCCUGUUCGAGCGUCAUUUGUACCUUCAAGCUUUGCUUGGUGUUGGGCGUUUUUGUCUCCCUCUUUCUGGGAGACUCGCCUUAAAACGAUUGGCAGCCGGCCUACUGGUUUCGGAGCGCAGCACAUUUUUUGCGCUUUGUAUCAGGAGAAAAGGACGGUACUCCAUCAAGACUUUUACAAUUUUAACUUUUGACCUCGGAUCAGGUAGGGAUACCCGCUGAACUUAAGCAUAUCAUAG